AGACCCGAAACCCGGUGAUCUAGCCAUGGGCAGGUUGAAGGUUGGGUAACACUAACUGGAGGACCGAACCGACUAAUGUUGAAAAAUUAGCGGAUGACCUGUGGCUGGGGGUGAAAGGCCAAUCAAACCGGGAGAUAGCUGGUUCUCCCCGAAAGCUAUUUAGGUAGCGCCUCGUGAAUUCAUCUCCGGGGGUAGAGCACUGUUUCGGCUAGGGGGCCAUCCCGGCUUACCAACCCGAUGCAAACUGCGAAUACCGGAGAAUGUUAUCACGGGAGACACACGGCGGGUGCUAACGUCCGUCGUGAAGAGGGAAACAACCCAGACCGCCAGCUAAGGUCCCAAAGUCAUGGUUAAGUGGGAAACGAUGUGGGAAGGCCCAGACAGCCAGGAUGUUGGCUUAGAAGCAGCCAUCAUUUAAAGAAAGCGUAAUAGCUCACUGGUCGAGUCGGCCUGCGCGGAAGAUGUAACGGGGCUAAACCAUGCACCGAAGCUGCGGCAGCGACGCUUAUGCGUUGUUGGGUAGGGGAGCGUUCUGUAAGCCUGUGAA
rnacentral:rRNA from 1 species